CCUACGGGUGGCUGCAGUGGGGGAUAUUGCACAAUGGGGGAAACCCUGAUGCAGCGACGCCGCGUGGGGGAAGAAGCGCCUCGGCGCGUAAAGCCCUGUCAGCAGGGGAGAAAAUGACGGUACCUGAAGAAGAAGCCCCGGCUAACUACGUGCCAGCAGCCGUGGUACUACGUAGGGUGCCAGCGUUAUCCGGAUUUACUGGGUGUAAAGGGGGCGCAGACGGCGGUGCAAGCCAGGAGUGAAAGCGCGGGGCCCAACCCCGGGACUGCUCUUGGUACUGCGUGGCUAGAGUGCAGGAGGGGCAGGCGGAAUUCCUGGUGUAGCGGUGAAAUGCGUAGAUAUCAGGAGGAACACCGGUGGCGAAGGCGGCCUGCUGGACUGCAACUGACGUUGAGGCCCGAAAGCGUGGGGAGCAAACAGGAUUAGAUACCCCAGUAGUC
rnacentral:rRNA from 1 species